rnacentral:rRNA from 1 species
UGCCAGCCGCCGCGGUAACACGGGGGGCGCAAGCGUUAAUCGGAAUCACUGGGCGUAAAGCGCGCGUAGGUGGUUGUUCAAGUCGGAUGUGAAAGCCCUGGGCUUAACCUGGGAACUGCAUUCGAAACUGGAUAACUAGAGUGUGGUAGAGGGAAGUGGAAUUUCAGGUGUAGCGGUGAAAUGCGUAGAUAUUCGGAGGAACACCAGUGGCGAAGGCGGCUUUCUGGACCGAUACUGACGCUGAGACGCGAAAGCGUGGGGAGCAAACAGGAUUAGAUA